rnacentral:rRNA from 1 species
UACGAAGGGGGCUAGCGUUGUUCGGAAUCACUGGGCGUAAAGGGCGCGUAGGCGGCAUUGCAAGUGGAGGGUGAAAUCCUCGGGCUCAACCCGAGAACUGCCUUUCAAACUGCAAAGCUAGAGUGUGAGAGAGGGUGAUGGAAUUCCCAGUGGAGAGGUGGAAUUCGUAGAGAUUGGGAAGAACACCAGCGGCGAAGGCGGUCACCUAGCUCACAACUGACGCUGAGGCGCGAAAGCGUGGGUAGCAAACAGG